AUACCGUUUUGGGUGGAAGUUAAAAAGUACCAAAAUGCAUCUGGAGAUCAUAUAUUUGAAGACAUAAGUGAACUCGCUAUAGCAUGUCUUUCACUUCCGCAUUCAAAUGCUGAGGUAGAAAGAUUGUUCUCCCAAAUGAAUUUAAUAAAAAAUAAACAGAGGAAUAGAAUGAGUUUAAUAACUCUGAAUUCUAUUUUAUGCAUAAGAGAUUCGCUCAGAAAAAGCGGCCAAUGCUGUCACAAUUACGUUUUUCCUAAAGCCGUUCUUGACAAAAUGGGUACUAUGGAAAAAUAUUCCAAAUCAAGCGCAGCUGAACCUUCUACAUCUUCUUCUCAUACAUAAUUAAGCAAAAGAUUGUCUUCUUUUAUUUGUUAACUGCAGUGUUUUAUUUCUUUAGUAUUUUAUUAUUUCGGAAUUCAGCUACUUCUAGCUAGUUUUUAGGGAGAAAAAAAUACUCAAUAUAGCAACUUUCUCUUAAACUCCUAGCUUCAAGCCUUUAGUAGCUGUUGGCAACACUGGUCGUUCGUGUUGUAACAUCACUAACACUUUAAAAGAAAACCAAAUUAAAAUUGGGAACAUGCCAUUGUCAAGCAAAGGCUGGCAAAUAAUAGGUCAUAUGUCAUUGAGGAUGUCAAUGGAGUUAGGUAUAGGAGAAAUAGAAUUCACUUAAGGCAUAAGUACUCUCCUAUGCUAUCCAACUCGUCGUCGUCGUCAUCGUCGCAGGGGAGAGAGGAUGGUGACAGUCAGAAGGCUGGACCUCAAGAACUCUCAUCUCAAUCCUCAAGUAGUCAAAUUGUCACACGUUCAGGUCGAUUUGUAAAGCCUUCUCGUAGGCUAAUAGAAGAAAUAGAUUAAGUAUAUAAUUGUAAUCUAAAUUAACUCAUAAUUAAGUAAAAACCUUUGUCUAUCAUAACUAUGUAUAAUAAAGUCAAUUUUUGUCAAGUCAGUCCAUAGUCUUAAGUCUAUUGUUUGUCAAGGGUUAAUUUAAACUUAACAGGGGGGAUGUUGUAACAUCACUAAUUAGUAUUACUAAUUAGUACGUCACUAAUAUAAUAACUUCCGCUAUGAUCUGUCAUCUGUCAUUUUCCAUAUCCUUUGUAUUUUCGACUAUGUAACUGUGGUGCAGUGAACUAUUAUAAUUGUGUGUUGUGAAAUAAAACUCAAGUAACCUAAGAUCAAGGACUUUCAUUUAUAUUACAGUUCGUUCACAACAUUUAGUACGCAUCGUUUCUUCGUCUAAAACGCAUCUCUCGUAUUCGUGUAACUAUCGUACUAACGACUUUGGCUUGUGUUACUUUGGACUUGAUACUGCAUCCGUACUGACGACUUUGGCUUUUGUUACUUUGGACUUGAUACUGCAUUCGUACUGACGACAUUGGCUUUGCUUUUCUGGACUUUGUGCUGUGAAAAUAGUGUGUGAACAACAUGCCGGAUCUGUACACAGCAGAAGAAUAUGCAAAUAUGCAUCUUAUCUACGGUGAAUGCCGUUGUAAUACCUCUGUCGCAGCCAGAUUGUAUCGCGAGAGAUACCCAAAUGUGCAGCGUCAACCAGAUUAUCGUGUAUUUCAAAAUGUGCAUGCGUCAUACUCGGAAGGACGAUUGCCCAGUGUUCGUACGUCCGGUGGAAGACCGCAAAGAGACUACGACGACAUAGUUUUGAAUGAAAUUCAAAAUGACCCCAGCACUUCAGUUCGUGCGAUUGAAAUAGCAAUGGGAGUAUCGAAAAGUAACGCUCAUCGAAUUUUAAAACGAUACAAAUUACAUCCUUAUCAUGUGCAACGCGUCCAGAGUUUGUUACCACGAGAUUACGCACUUAGAAUUGAUUUCUGCAGGACAAUGUUAGCAAAAUAUCGUGAAGAUCCAGAAUUUCUAAAUAAAAUUUUAUGGACCGACGAAUCAACAUUUAAAAGAGACGGGUAAAAGAGACCUGAAUUGGUAUGUCCACUGAAUUUUACACACCCAAUUAUUUAUUUAAUACAUGCAGUUUUAUGUAACAAUAAUCAUAAUUUUAUUGUUUUAGAGGACGACUGUCUCACCGGUUGCUAUAGACUCUUCUAUUGUAAGCAACAACGAGGUGAUGGAAAUGCACUUUGAGCAACCGGUGCAUGUUUCCCCUGUACCUGGCACGUCACACAGUGAAGUGAUACCAGACACCAUAAUACCUGAGACCACACCACUACCGGAGACUAUUACGUCACGAAGGAUACGCCAACGCCAGACUUCAACUCACUGAGGGGAUACAAUAACAAUGGAACGUUUUGCGACUAUGGAAGAACAGCGGGUUGAAGCAGAAUUGACAACCGCCCGAGCAUUUGCUCAGUUGGCAGAACAAGUUGGGAAUAUGGCAAGGGCAUUGUCAUCUGUCACUGAUGCAAUUACAGACUUGGUUAGAAAAAUGCCAGACCCUAGCUCUUCUUGACAUGUUUAAAACUAGUCAAUUUUUCAAAUAGGUUUAAUAGUUUCGGAGCCUUUACUGCCUUUAGGCCAAAACAAACAUCAAAAUUUUUAUUUUUUAUUAUAUUAGUAUUGUAGUGUUCCUAAUCAAGCAAUGUGCCAUAAAUAGCUGUCUUAAAACUCUUAAGUUUUCUAGUAGGUAAGUCUUAAAGUUUAGAGUAUGACACCAAGCUCCACUGUUCUGCACGGAAUACUGUGGAACGUACCAUUGGUGUACUCAAAAACCGAUGGCGGUGCUUAAUCGGUCAUAGGGUUCUUCACUAUCAUCCUGAUGUAGCAGCCAAAAUAAUUAAUGCUUGUUGUGUCUUACACAACAUGUGUAUCAAUAUCAUUGAAAUUGAUUUUGAUGAGAAUACAGCAGAGCAUCAGAAUGAUUACCUAACUGUCUCUUCCCAAGAGUCAACUAAGAGCACAUCUGUUGAACUAAGAUAAGACAAGGCAUCGAAAAGCGAAAUAUUUUAGUUCAGCAGUUGUGGUCAUGCAGAAGGUAGAUUAAAGGUAUGAUACAAUUAAAUUCAUUAAUUAUAAGUCUGAUAUAACUAACAUGAGGCGGAACAAUAUAUUUGGUACGCAGCGGAACCUCUACCUCUAAAUUUGCAUUUUGUAAUUUUAGCUAAAAUGUCAAAUCGCCCAUCUUACAGACAAGGUUUGGUGGAAUUCCUGGAGCAAAAUCCAGCAAUAGCCAAAGGUUUGCUUCGGACGAGGCAAGGGAAGCUAGAAACUAAGCGAAAAUGGGCAACCUUGGCAACUUCCUUGAAUUCCCUUGGAGGAGCCAAUAAAAAUGGUCAAGGCUGGGCUAAGGUAAGGAAGCGAAAUCUCAUUGGAAGAAAUUAAGAGAUAGUCAUAGAGAAGCUCUUCGAAGACGUAAGACUACUACAGGACAGACAGCACAAAAUAUGAGAAUUUAAUGGAAUUUUUACCGCCACACAGACAAAAUAACGAGACUUUCAAAUUUUUCGGAUCGUAUACAAGGAAACGACACUGAAAACACUUCUGAUACAAUAAUUACGGAUACUGAUGUUGUUGAAUCACCUCCCUCACCGGCUAAAACAUCUACAAUUCAAUCUGGGAAGAAGAACAGCAAGCAACUGGAAAUGAUAGAGAUUCUUCAGCGCCGAGAGAAAAAUCGCGAGCAAAGACGCUAAUCGACCACCAGAUGCAUUAUCCCAUUUAUUUGAAAGUCUCUUUCAAAAGACUCGUGAUUUACCAAAGUAUUGAUAUUUAUAUUUAUAAUAAUUAAUGUAUUCUUCUCAUAAUACUAGAUUUGUUAGUAGCUAUUUUUCAUUUCAUCUAAUUUUGAUUGUUUGUUUCUAAAUGUUGUUCAAACUUAACCUUCCUAUAUAAUGUAUUCAUUGUGGCAAGUAAACCGGCUGGCCGCCGUCUCGAUCCUUUGUUUCUUAUGUCCCUACUCCGUGGCUGCGCGAGCGCAACAGUUCGCGCCGCGGCGGCCGCUGAGCGUUCCACCUUACGCGCGAUCUAGUUUACCUAGUCCUUAGCCCUUGUUAUCACUGCCUACGCUUUAAACUGCUUUCUCCUUCUGUCUAUUGUAAAACUCUUGCGUGUAAACUAUUCUUCCGUGUGCUAAUAAACUUUCUUCUCGAGUGCACAAUCGUUUUUAUUGCUUAUUGCCGCAUAAGACAACCUACACGCUAUAGCAACUUAGCAAAAUACUGUACAUUACCACUAAUCGUGCCAUAUUAAACACUGAUUAUCACAAAACUAGCAUAUUAAAUACCUUUUCAUCCCACCAUCUCGGAAAGAGUAGUUUUACCCUUUGAUAUCUGAGCAUCAUAACGCAAAAGCCGUUUUUAUCCUCUAGAGCGGCAAAGUGAUUUGAAUUUAGAACAUCGUGUGCAAUACUCCAUUUGUGACAAUCUUGAUAAGACUUUUCAAACAAAUACAUAUUAAACAAAUAAAAUACUGCUUAAAAUAAUUAUUCAAUUAACACGUUCGCGUGAGCAGCGUCUUACAACGUCGUGUUGAUAUAAUUCUGAAAUGGCGCAACGUCGUACGACAGCCUCUAGGUUGUCAUAUUUAUUUUGACGGAACGUCUUUGGACGUCUAUUUUAUGGGCAAAUUCCUAUAGCGCAUCUACUUAGCGCCGCAACACGUUCGAUUUACCACGCCAGAACCGCCGCAUGACCAAAUAAGUAAACAUAUCAUCAGUUUUGUACGCACACAUGCAAAGGUAACGCACACAAACUCGCAACGUUUUAUGACGCCCUCCCUUGUACCGCGAUCCCACUGCCAGUUGCCCUGCGCGCAGUGAGACGACCUAACGUGUGUGAAACUGUGAACUUAUCUGGAUUACGUAAUAUUUUAUUAUAAAAGGUUAGUAAAUAUUAUAAAUUUCUUUAUUACACUUACUUAGUAUAAGUAUUAGCAUGUUUUUGAGGAACAAACCAUGAUGUAACUAACUCGGAUUUGAUAUAAUUUCGAAAAAGAAGUUCGUAACGGUUUUUCUGUUUUGUUUUUGCAUUUGCUUGUUUUGAACAGUGGGAAUAUGGUAAUAAUCAUAAAAUAAACGGUGUUAUGGUUUUUAUACUAACGUAACAUAUAACUGCACUGCUUUUUGCUUUAGUAAGGGUGUAAUAUUGCAUUGUUAUAGAUGGAUAAGGAAGAAGAACGUAUUAUGAAACUUUUCGAAGAAGCGUCGUCGACAGGAAGGACUAUACCAGAUCCAUUUAGUGUUAGUGGUGAUGAUGAAUAUGGAUCUGACGGAGACUAUAAUCCUUAUAAUGAUGAAGUUAGUAGUGACAGCAAUACUUCUGUAAAUAGAACUAUGUUAUAUCGUCGCAAGCGUUCUUCUAAUAAACCUCAAUCCGUAAGUACAGCUCCAAUGCAUAAUCGUACGUCUAGUUCAAGCUCAUCGUCAUCAUCUGAUGUGAACCAAACCGACUCUCUACCGACUGAUUCUGACGAAUGUCAA
rnacentral:lncRNA from 1 species